GUGACUUGAUGGCAGACCGGAGACUGGAAGUGUUUUAUGCUGCUGUCAGCUGCAGCAGCUUCUGUUCAGAGUUAUUGAUUCACCUGCUCUUCAGCUGGGAACUCGACAAACUUUGAAAUACCUCUGCAGUGGCAUUAAGAGUACAAAGCAUGGAAAAAGCCUCCAGUUAAAGGAGCACAAGAUAGGCUCCUCUGAUGUUCUAAACUUGGAUAAAUGGGUAAGAAGAGACCAGCAGAGGACAAAGGCACGGCUUAUCAUCUUCAUCGUUGUUCAGAACCGAUUAGCGUUGAGGUCCGAGGCAGAAGAGGGAGAGAGGCUGGAGAAGGAUGGAGUGAUCGGAAACGCAGCAGAGUGCAGAAGCUGUGGGGCUCCACGCAGCCAUGACCACGGGAAUCUGAAAAGCACCUUGGAGUACUGUUCAGCCGAUCUGGUUCCAAUUCUCUGACUCUUCAUAUCAAGUGCUUUAAAAGAGGUCUAAACACCAAGGUCAUUUCUGUGGAUUCAAGAGGCAUGCAGCAGUGAUAAAAGCCACCAUAUGUACCUAGCCACUCACUUCUGGAGGUAAACCUAGCCAGAGCGUGUUAGUCAGAAAAGUUCAGAGGAAGACGAAGAACAGCAGAGACACAAGGCCAACGGAGCGGAACCACAAUGACGCCUAAAAGGUUUGGUGGAUUUCUGAGCAUGUAACGUCGUCAGAGACUGCACUUUAGUUUCAAAAGCUCAAAUAGAAAAAUCAGAUGUUCCAGUUUGCCGAUUUAAAAGGAAAAAAUGUUUUUUACUUGAAGUUCUGACCUUUAAACCCACUCAUUCUGGACUGAAAUUCAAACUGGAAGAGUCUUCGGCCUCACCUGCAUCACCCAGUCGCCGGGUGACGCUCACCGCCACCAACCUCAGCACCGGACCUCGACCCGCCUCGUCCAAUCCCCAAUCAAGCUCCCGUUUACAAGGAUCCACACCCACAACAUCUUUUGCUUUCCAGCUGCGCUCAACCCACCUCCACCUCUUCUCCACCUGCAUCCUCCCGGCUCUCCAGGCGGCCAUCCUUCCUCGGACCUCCAGCGCCGGUGUCGGGCCCCUGGGGGAAGACAUACCUAAUCAGCAUCGGGUUGCUCAUCUGAGCUUGUUGCUAUUCACAGCUCAAAUCUUCUACCGGGGCCCGAGCGCCAAAAAACUUUAAUUCAUCCAUGUCAAUAAACCUUUUUAAUCGUUGCUUUUCUCCAUCGGAGUCUC